rnacentral:rRNA from 1 species
ACAGCGUCGCUCCCACCAUUAUGCCUUUGUUCUCUUAUCGGGCAACUGCAACGUGGCUUGGGAAGCGGAUAUUGGCCCCCCGUACCUUUGUAGCGCGGCCGGCCUAAAAUUCGGCCCUCGGCGACGAGCGUCACGAUCAGUGGUGGUUGAAUAACCCCUUUGUCAUAGACCGGUAUCGUGUUGUUUCGUCGUCUAUUUGGGCCACAUGGACCCUUGCGUGUCGUAUAAACGACAUUCACUCU